rnacentral:rRNA from 1 species
CCGAAUGCCAAAUAAUUUAACUUGGGAGUCAGAACAUGGGUGAUAAGGUCCGUGUUCGAAAGGGAAACAGCCCAGACCACCAGCUAAGGUCCCAAAAUAUAUGUUAAGUGGAAAAGGAUGUGGCGUUGCCCAGACAACUAGGAUGUUGGCUUAGAAGCAGCCAUCAUUUAAAGAGUGCGUAAUAGCUCACUAGUCGAGUGACACUGCGCCGAAAAUGUACCGGGGCUAAACAUAUUACCGAAGCUGUGGAUUGUCCUUUAGGACAAUGGUAGGAGAGCGUUCUAAGGGCGUUGAAGCAUGAUCGCAAGGACAUGUGGAGCGCUUAGAAGUGAGAAUGCCGGUGUGAGUAGCGAAAGACGGGUGAGAAUCCCGUCCACCGAUUGACUAAGGUUUCCAGAGGAAGGCUCGUCCGCUCUGGGUUAGUCGGGUCCUAAGCUGAGGCCGACAGGCGUAGGCGAUGGAUAACAGGUUGAUAUUCCUGUACCACCAUGAUUCGUUUUAAGCGAUGGGGGGACGCAGUAGGAUAGGCGAAGCGUGCUGUUGGAGUGCACGUCUAAGCAGUAAGACUGAGUGUUAGGCAAAUCCGGCACUCAUUAAGGUCAAGCUGUGAUGGGGAGAAGAAACAUGUUUUCUUCGAGUCGUUGAUUUCACACUGCCAAGAAAAGCCUCUAGCUAGAAGAUUGGUGCCCGUACCGCAAACCGACACAGGUAGUCAAGAUGAGAAUUCUAAGGUGAGCGAGCGAACUCUCGUUAAGGAACUCGGCAAAAUGACCCCGUAACUUCGGGAGAAGGGGUGCUCUUUGAGGUUCACGCUUCGAAGAGCCGCAGUGAAUAGGCCCAAGCGACUGUUUAUCAAAAACACAGGUCUCUGCUAAACCGUAAGGUGACGUAUAGGGGCUGACGCCUGCCCGGUGCUGGAAGGUUAAGAGGAGUGGUUAGCAUUAGCGAAGCUACGAAUCGAAGCCCCAGUAAACGGCGGCCGUAACUAUAACGGUCCUAAGGUAGCGAAAUUCCUUGUCGGGUAAGUUCCGACCCGCACGAAAGGCGUAACGAUUUGGGCACUGUCUCAACGAGAGACUCGGUGAAAUCAUAGUACCGGUGAAGAUGCCGGUUACCCGCGACAGGACGGAAAGACCCCGUGGAGCUUUACUGUAGCCUGAUAUUGAAAUUCGGUACAGUUUGUACAGGAUAGGUAGGAGCCUUAGAAGCGUGAGCGCUAGCUUACGUGGAGGCAUUGGUGGGAUACUACCCUAAUUGUAUUGGAUUUCUAACCCGCAACUCUUAUCGAGUUGGGAGACAGUGUCAGGCGGGCAGUUUGACUGGGGCGGUCGCCUCCUAAAGAGUAACGGAGGCGCUCAAAGGUUCCCUCAGAAUGGUUGGAAAUCAUUCAUAGAGUGUAAAGGCAUAAGGGAGCUUGACUGCGAGACCUACAAGUCGAGCAGGGUCGAAAGACGGACUUAGUGAUCCGGUGGUUCCGCAUGGAAGGGCCAUCGCUCAACGGAUAAAAGCUACCCCGGGGAUAACAGGCUUAUCUCCCCCAAGAGU